rnacentral:rRNA from 1 species
AUGAGUAGUACAAAGUGUGCAAUUUUAAGCUGGAACAUCAGGGGACUGAACACACCAGCCAGGCGAACAGCUGUGCGACAGAUAGCAGAAGCGCAGCGGGCAAACAUUCUCUGCCUGCAGGAGACUAAGCUAGAAUCUUGGACGCCCAAUGUUGUUAGAGAGCUGGGAGGAGCCAGAUUAGAUGGGUGCGCCGUUCUUCCAGCGAUUGGCACUAGAGGAGGAAUUGAUGUUCUCUGGGACAAGAGUAUGGUCAGUUUCGUGACACAUGCAGUCGGAAACUUCUCAAUCACCGGAAAAGUGUCUUUGAUCCAGGACAGACUUGAUUCCUGGCUCACAACUGUUUACGGACCAGUGGACGACACGAGAAAAGAUGAUUUCCUUGCUGAAAUAGCUCAUGUUGCACCACCACAAGGAGAACCCUGGCUUCUAAACGGAUAUUUCAACAUCAUCUAUGAAGCCGCUACAAGAACAACCUCAACCUGA